rnacentral:rRNA from 1 species
UACGGAGGGGGCGAGCGUUAUUCGGAAUUAUUGGGCGUAAAGAGCUCGUAGGCGGCUUGUCGCGUCGUCUGUGAAAUCCCGCGGCUCAACCGCGGGUCUGCAGUCGAUACGGGCAGGCUAGAGUUCGGUAGGGGAGACUGGAAUUCCUGGUGUAGCGGUGAAAUGCGCAGAUAUCAGGAGGAACACCGGUGGCGAAGGCGGGUCUCUGGGCCGAUACUGACGCUGAGGAGCGAAAGCGUGGGGAGCGAACCGG